rnacentral:rRNA from 1 species
GACGUAGGGCGCGAGCGUUGUCCGGAUUUAUUGGGCGUAAAGAGCUCGUAGGCGGUUUGUCGCGUCGUCCGUGAAAACUCACAGCUUAACUGUGAGCUUGCGGUCGAUACGGGCAGGCUAGAGUUCGGUAGGGGAGACUGGAAUUCCUGGUGUAGCGGUGAAAUGCGCAGAUAUCAGGAGGAACACCGGUGGCGAAGGCGGGUCUCUGGGCCGUAACUGACGCUGAGGAGCGAAAGCAUGGGGAGCGAACAGG